AAACUCUUCCUGAAAUUGCUCUUCUGUCUGAGCUUUUCAAAAUAAAGUGUUAAGACAAGAACUAAAUAUGAUCAGAACAACAAACAGUAGCACACUGCCCUUCGAUCACAUUUGCCUGAGAAGAGACAUGGGUGUGUGUGUGUGGCGGGGGUGAAUGUGAUAGUUUUAGAUCUAUGGAUAACCAAUGGGUGUGCUUCAAAGGAAUUUAAAGUCCAACUGAGAGAAUCACAUCAACCUGAUAGGUAAAAUGAUUUUUACCUGAUUUUAGCCUUUGGAGACAUGUUAAGCCCAAGUCCCCUUAAACCUGGACAAUUGGUCACCUAUGAAGUCAUAGCAGCUUCAGGGAUGACAUUGUGCUCAGCAGUGCUCCGUGGUCACCAUUGUCAUCAGACUAGCACUAGGUCAGAAGGACGAAAAGAGCCUCUAAUGAACAUGAGCAUACCGGCAAUUCUGAAAUCCAGCUAGCGAUCAGAAGUUCUCAGGCUGUUUAUUGAAAAGCAAAGUAAAUAAAGGGACGGACGGUGCCUCGCCUGAAAAGCUCUGUGGUCAGCUGGAGUCAGCAGGCUCUGUUUAUUAUGCCCUUCUCAUUAGUUCUCUGCAUGGAAGGUAAACGCAGACUAGAGAUGAAGACCUGGAGUCAGAAGUGACUUCUGAAGACCUGAUUCCAGCUCCUACAUCAGGAGGCUCACAGCCACUAUAACCGCAGCUCUGGGAGAAUCUGACCCCUCUGGCUUCUGCAAGCCCCUUCACUUGUGGGGCACCUCUCCACACACAGCCACACCAUUGAGAAUAACACAAAUGCAAAAUAAAAAGAACACAAAAGAAA